GCCGCGGUGGUGGAAUUGGUUUACACGUACGAUUCAAAAUCGUAUGACCGCAAGGUCGUGUGGGUUCGACUCCCACCCGCGGCACCA
rnacentral:tRNA from 1 species